GACGGAAGGUGCAAGCGUUGCUCGGAAUCACUGGGCGUAAAGGGUGCGUAGGCGGCUUGGUGGGUCUGGUGUGAAAGCCCCGGGCUCAGCCCGGGAAGGGCACUAGAAACUGCCGAGCUGGAGUGCCGGAGGGGAGAGUGGAAUUCCUGGUGUAGCGGUGAAAUGCGUAGAUAUCAGGAGGAACACCAAUGGCGAAGGCAGCACUCUGGGACGUGACUGACGCUGAGACGCGAAAGCGUGGGGAGCAAACAGG
rnacentral:rRNA from 1 species